rnacentral:rRNA from 1 species
CACGUAGGGCGCAAGCGUUGUCUGGAAUUAUUGGGCGUAAAGAGCUCGUAGGCGGUCUGUUGCGUCCGCUGUGAAAACCCGGGGCUUAACCCUGGGCUGGCAGUGGAUACGGACAGACUAGAGGUAGGUAGGGGAGAAUGGAAUUCCCGGUGUAGCGGUGAAAUGCGCAGAUAUCGGGAGGAACACCGGUGGCGAAGGCGGUUCUCUGGGCCUUACCUGACGCUGAGGAGCGAAAGCGUGGGGAGCGAACAGG